UCCAUCUCCAUCAGACAGAUGAGAACGAUGUGAGAAUGAAUCCUUUGCUAAUUCACCUCCAGAAAUUGCUAAUAAUUAUCUCUGUUUUUGGAAAAAGAUUCUUCAUUUCUUUCAGUCUGCAGGCAGAGGCAGACAUAUAUCCCUGUCAGAGUAAAAUGGGAUUGGUGUGAAAAGAAGCAGCACAACCACCAAAAUCUACAGACAUCCUUCUAAGGCAGGCAAUGAGUAGGAUGAGCAAAGCUGGGAAAGCUUGAAGGCAACUGCAGGGAUUGGAGAAGAGAUGACCAUGUCUUUCCGUAUCCUAAGCUGACACCCUUGAAGAGUUGAUGAUGGUGUAAAGUUUGAAGAUGGAGCAAAUAUAUCUGUGGACUCUUUUGCACAUUACU
rnacentral:lncRNA from 1 species